rnacentral:rRNA from 1 species
AUUGAACGCUGGCGGCAUGCCUUACACAUGCAAGUCGAACGGCAGCAUAGGAGCUUGCUCCUGAUGGCGUGUGGCGAACGGGUGAGUAAUAUAUCGGAACGUGCCCUAGAGUGGGGGAUAACUAGUCGCAAGACUAGCUAAUACCGCAUACGAUCUACGGUUGAAAGUGGGGGAUCGCAAGACCUCAUGCCUCUGGAGCGGCCGAUAUCUGAUUAGCUAGUUGGUGGGGUAAAAGCUCACCAAGGCGACGAUCAGUAGCUGGUCUGAGAGGACGACCAGCCACACUGGGACUGAGACACGGCCCAGACUCCUACGGGAGGCAGCAGUGGGGAAUUUUGGACAAUGGGGGCAACCCUGAUCCAGCAAUGCCGCGUGAGUGAAGAAGGCCUUCGGGUUGUAAAGCUCUUUUGUCAGGGAAGAAACGGUUCUGGAUAAUACCUGGGACUAAUGACGGUACCUGAAGAAUAAGCACCGGCUAACUACGUGCCAGCCGCCGCCGUAA